AAUAGAAGAAUACACACACAAAAAAAAUCCAGUCAGUGCAAUCCGUCUAUGCAUGUAACACAUAAUGUGCUCUUGAUUUACAAAUCCUAAGUGGGUGGUGGCUGCCAGGACAGCAGAUCUGAACCUAAAAAGUAUUUCUUUACUCUUCAUGAAACCAAUCUCUCUCCCCAGGCUUAGGUUUUUCUUGCUUACCUCUCUAGAGACUCCCUCAAAUACCUUUAAUUUCUGAAAAUUUCUUCCAGUCUAAUUCACUCUGCCUCUUGCUCUGUUUUCUAAUACCUUCAAGUCUCCCUUAGACUGAAAAAGGGGUACCCUGUUCCAUUCUUCAGUCCAUCUCUCUCCCAUUCAUUCAUGAAGACAUUGCUCAGUUCUCUUUUUCCUUUUUAUAAUCUCCUGAAUCAUUCCUUCCCAGCCCUUUUCUAAAAAGUUUGGCUUCAAACCUUAGUAUUUCUCUGAAGUUGUAUUUCAGAGAUCACUAAUUACUUCUUCCUGACCAAACUCAGUGGCUUUUUUUCAGAAGUUAUUCCACUCUACUUGGUCUUUGGGCUUUUUCCACUUCCUCGGUGAGGGUGAAGAACUGUGGUUUACAUUUCUCAUAUUUUUCUAGCUACGGUAGGGGAUCAUUUUAUUUAAGUUUUGAAUACUUAUACUUGUGGUCCAUGAAUGUAACCUUCCUCAUCUUAUUUGAAAUAAGAAAACGAAGUAUCUGUCCUAAAAUAUACUGCUCAAAAGGGAUCACAUAUGUAUGUACAUUCAUGUUGCUAUAAAAAAAAGUUUCCAAUUUAUCAGGAAAGUGAGUUUUAGGGGUCAUGAUUUCUAAUCAAAAUACUGCAGGAUAAAUGUUCUCUGACAUAACGGAAAACAAUGAAAUGUGGUAAAAGGAACUUGUCCAAGUUUGCUAAAAGAAAACCUAGACAUGAUCAAGGAGUAGACAUUUUGUUGAAAGUAGGAGAUUAAGAAUGCCGACAUAAAACUUUUUAAACAUUAAAUCAAAAAGUCAAGAAAAAAGCUGGGAUUCUCUUUAGAAAGUUUGAAUUUAGCUUGGAGAAGAAAGAACACAGUGGUUUUCUCUUGUAUUAGAACAGGUGUAUACCGGCCAAGUUUGGAAGAAGCCAGAAAUACCUUGAGAAUGUCUUAGGACAAGAUUAGAAGGAAAGAUAAUUCAUUGGAAGGAGUCCAGGAGCCUGGGCCACUCAAGUCUGUACUCACUGAAGGUUACCAUGAAAUCAUCUGCAUGGAAGCCCUUGUUUGUCAAUAUCUAUUUGUCAAAUAUUACUCUUGAGAGAGAAGGUUCCACAUGAACAACAACAAAAAAAGUUGUUCCAUUUAUGUUUCUCUAAAUGCCAAAUGAAGUAUUUUAAAUAAGCAUUUUAUAAAAAGUUAUGGUAAAGCUGUAGCUGCUGAAAGCCUGCUUUAGGAAAAUAGUGAUACAUCUUAUCAACUCAAGCAGUAAACAGGAACUUCCAGUGCUGCAUGAUGGAAGGUCACCAUCUAGAGGCCCAAUUGUAUUAGGAUGUUUCACUACAAGCUCCAAUGACUCCAGAGGCUAGGAAGGCAGCCUGUGUAAGAAGCAGCAGCCAGCCCCAAGGAGAGGAGGGAACAGCAAGACUUUGGCCCUGCAGACUUUGCCUCAGUAAAUGCAUUCAAAAUUCCAGUUACAAACAAAACAAACUAAACACAGUGCCUUCAAACUGAGCAAUCUGCCAAAUCAAGCUUUGAUCCUGGGCCUCUGCUCACUGUCAGAAUAUGAAUGGAAAGUUGAAUGUGAUAAGUAAAGUGAUAACUCCUUGGGAGAUAAGCUCAAAGAGAUUCCAAACAAUGGAGGCUUUUACAAUUUCUUGUACAAAA
rnacentral:lncRNA from 1 species